rnacentral:tRNA from 1 species
GCCCCGUUGGCUAAGUGGUAUAGCGUGUCACUAGUAAUCUCCAAACACCACAUGGUGUUCCAAAGGUGAUCACCAUGAUAUGACAAGAUCACUGGUUCGAUUCCAGUACGGGGCA